AAUAAUAUAAGUGAAUAUGUGAGACGAGGCAUAUUGAACAGUACAUGGAUGAGCGUUAAUAUUGUACUAGUGAUAUUAUAGAUGGAUAUAGAUUAAAGUUUAACCUUAAUCGUAAAUAUUCUGAUCAUGUCAAGUGUUGAAGGAUGUCUAACGUUUUUCGUCAAUGGGAAAAAGAUCACUGAACAAAAUCCAGAUCCAAGAGGAACAUUGUUACAGUACCUUCGACGAAAUUUAUGUUUGCCAGGGACAAAAGAAGGGUGUGGUCAUGGGGGAUGUGGCUCAUGUACCGUUAUGGUGUCAAAAUACGACUUCAAUAAGAAGUCUAUUCAGUAUCCU